rnacentral:lncRNA from 1 species
UAAAGGACAGGGAUGACAAUACUUCAUUUCACAACAAAUAUUACAAGUACAGAGCUAAUACAAAGACUAAAAAUUAGAUUAUCACACAACUAACUACCACAGAGAGUAAUUUCAAUACAAAAUAAAAUCACUAGUAAUCUGAAUUUAUACAAACCACUAACUGACAAACAGGAGACAUAUAUAUAAUUGUUUCACAUCAACCACACACACAUAUGUCUUAAUAAUUCUCAGAUGCAUGAGCUAAAACAUAGACAACCAAAAAUGAGCAAGAAUCUGCAACAAGCAGUACACAAGUGACAAUUUUAACUAAUUAACACACACAGGAAGUCUGAACUAAACAACAGUAGAUUACUAACACUUAUCAAAUCUGAAUAAUACAAAUCACAUGCGUCUCAAUCUUACAGAAAUUUCAAAGAGAGUGAGAAAGAAGGAGCAGCAGGAGGUAUGGGAAGAAGAGGCAACAGGGGAAAGGAGUAGUAGCAGCAGUGUGGAGGCGCAGGGGAGAAGAGAGAGCAGCAGCAGUUUGAGGCGAGGGAAGAAGAGAAGAUGCAGCAGCAGGGACGUGAGGAGAGGGAGCAGCAGCAGUUUUGGGGAGAAGAAGAAGGAGCAGCAGCAGCAUGGAGGGUUCAGCAGGGCAAAGAUGUGGGAGAGAGAGAGAUCGCGGCAGGUGAAGGAAGAGGAAAAGAGGGAGUAGUAGCAGCAGGAGGUCGAGGAGAAGAAGAAGCAGGGCGAGGCAGGGUUGCACGGGCUGGAGGG